rnacentral:lncRNA from 10 species
ACCUCGGCCUCCCAAAGUGCUGGAAUUACAGGCAUGAACCACGGUGCCCGGCUGACACAAGGAACUUUCUAUGAGGUCCUAGGAAUGAAGGAAAACAGGCAAUAAGGCAAGAAUCGCUGUCGAAGGAGUCUGCGCCACCUGCUCGCACAGCUCACUUGUGCCUUCUGAGCCUGCUGGAGCCCAGUGUACAUAUGCCGUCUCCGCGUGAUUAGAGAUUGCUGCUGCACGUGCCCAAUCCCGUGGCGGGGCUGGAACACAAACGGGGUGGUGUUCCAGCUGCAACCAUGCAGAUGAAGACUAUACCCUAGGAGAUGGAGGAACAACAGACAAGAAAGAAACCUGGGUUCCUGAAUAACCACGUGGAGCCAAGCAGCUUACUUAUCUCAAGCCACUGUUGCCCACCUCCAGAUUGGUUCGUGAGAUAGAAAUAAGCUUCUAUCCUUUUUGCAUGACUGCAUUUUGGGGUCUGUGUUAUAGCAGCUUAAUCUCUAUCUGAAUUAUAUUGGAUUUAAGUGUCUGAAGCCCAAUGACUUAACCUUUCCUGAGGCAAAGGCACAGAAGAGCCUAUUUUCCAAAAAUGGGAAAACGAAGACAUAGGAAGGAAAAACCCAACAAAUGGUCAGGAAAUUAUACUGCUAUAGGCUCUUCUCGGAUGAGUGUCUAGUCCUAAUGAGGGGGCUGUGGGAAUUCAAAGACGGAGAAACUGCCUUCAGAUAGAGCUAGUAGGGAAGACCCCUGCAGACAGUGACAUUAAAUUGAAGGUAGAAUUUGGAUAGAUGGACAUGGGGAGGGCAAUUCAAACAAAGGGAACUUGAGCAACAGGGUGGAGGUAGAAAGGUGCCAGAUCUUUUGGGAGAUGCAGAAGUGAUAUCACACAGUUUAAAGCCAGAGUUAAAUAUAAACCGAUACUUAGAAGCUUAAAUUCAACAUGGCAAAUUCACAGGUUUAGUUUCCUAAAAGAUUUUUCAUGUUUUUAUUACAGAACUGUCUGCAAACAAAUCUUUACUUGAUG